rnacentral:rRNA from 1 species
AACGCGAAGAACCUUACCUGGCCUUGACAUCCAGAGAACUUAGCAGAGAUGCUUUGGUGCCUUCGGGAACUCUGAGACAGGUGCUGCAUGGCUGUCGUCAGCUCGUGUUGUGAAAUGUUGGGUUAAGUCCCGCAACGAGCGCAACCCUUAUCCUUUGUUGCCAGCGGUUCGGCCGGGAACUCAAAGGAGACUGCCGGUGAUAAACCGGAGGAAGGUGGGGAUGACGUCAAGUCAUCAUGGCCCUUACGGCCAGGGCUACACACGUGCUACAAUGGCGCAUACAAAGAGAAGCGACCUCGCGAGAGCAAGCGGACCUCAUAAAGUGCGUCGUAGUCCGGAUUGGAGUCUGCAACUCGACUCCAUGAAGUCGGAAUCGCUAGUAAUCGUAGAUCAGAAUGCUACGGUGAAUACGUUCCC